rnacentral:tRNA from 1 species
UAUAACUUAGUUUAAUUAAAACAAUAAUUUGUGGAAUUAUAAACAAGCUAAUAAAA